CGGGGGAUGGCGCAGUUUGGCGAGCGCGCUUGAAUGGGGUUCAAGAGGUCGAGAGUUCAAGUCUCUCUCCCCCGA
rnacentral:tRNA from 1 species